rnacentral:tRNA from 1 species
GGGCAGGUACCAAAGCGGCCAACUGGGGCAGACUGUAAAUCUGCUGGCUUUGCCUUCGGGGGUUCGAAUCCCUCCCUGCCCA